UAUCAUGCAAGUCGAACGCUUUGUGGUUCAACUGAUAUGAAGAGCUUGCUCGGAUUUGAAGAUGAACAUUGCAAAGAGUGGCGAACGGGUGAGUAACACGUGGGAAACCUACCUCUUAGCGGGGGAUAACACUUGGAAACAAGUGCUAAUACCGCAUAAUACUGAUAACCGCAUGGUUAUCAGUUGAAAGAUGGUUCUGCUAUCACUAAGAGAUGGUCCCGCGGUGUAUUAGCUAGUUGGUAAGGUAAUGGCUUACCAAGGCAAUGAUACAUAGCCGAGUUGAGAGACUGAUCGGCCACAAUGGGACUGAGACACGGCCCAUACUCCUACGGGAGGCAGCAGUAGGGAAUCUUCCACAAUGGACGAAAGUCUGAUGGAGCAACGCCGCGUGUGUGAUGAAGGGUUUCGGCUCGUAAAACACUGUUGUAAGAGAAGAAUGACAUUGAGAGUAACUGUUCAGUGUGUGACGGUAUCUUACCAGAAAGGAACGGCUAAAUACGUGCCAGCAGCCGCGGUAAU
rnacentral:rRNA from 1 species